rnacentral:rRNA from 1 species
AGAUACCCCACUAUGCUCAGCCGUAAACUUUAAUUUACACUAAAAUCGCCAGGGAACUAUGAGCUAUGCUUAAAACCCAAAGGACUUGACGGCACCUUAUACCCAACUAGAGGAGCCUGUCCUAUAAUCGAUACUCCCCGUUUAACCUCACCCCUUCUAGCCUAUCAGCCUGUAUACUUCCGUCGUCAGUCCACCACGUGAGCGCUAUUCAGUGGGCCCUUCGGCCAACCCGCACAGACGUCAGGUCAAAGUGCAGCAAAUGGAGGGGGAAGAGAUGGGCUACAUUCUCUAAAAUAGAGUACACGAAUGACUGCAUAUGAAACCCAGUCUGAAGGCGGAUUUAGAAGUAAAGAGAAAUCAGAGAGUUCUCUUUAACCCGGCACUGAGGUGUGUACACACCGCCCGUCACCCUCCUCGAAGCCACUAUAACAGUAAUUAACACCUAUUGCAAAAGAGAGGAGGUAAGUCGUAACA